AAAAUUACUUUGCAGGGGAGACACCAUGAUCACAAAGGUGGUUUUCCCAGGCUAAGGCUUAUCCAUUGCACUCUCGCUGUGCUGAUUCCUGCAAUUUUCCCAAACGUGGGAAACCCGACCAACAUAAUUUUUGGUAGUGGGGGACUGCAUUCACUCUCUACCCUG